UGCUUGCACUUUGGUAGACUGAGUGGCGGACAGGUGAGUAACGCGUGGGUAACCUGCCUUAUACAGGGGGAUAACGGCUGGAAACGGUCGCUAAUACCGCAUGACGUGUUCGGAUGGCAUCAUCUGAACAUCAAAGAUUUAUCGCUGAAAGAUGGGCUCGCGUCUGAUUAGAUAGUUGGUGGGGUAACGGCCUACCAAGUCUACGAUCAGUAGCCGGACUGAGAGGUUGAACGGCCACAUUGGGACUGAGACACGGCCCAAACUCC
rnacentral:rRNA from 1 species